rnacentral:misc_RNA from 1 species
GAUGAAGAACGUAGCGAAAUGCGAUAAGUAAUGCGAAUUGCAGAAUCCGUGAGUCAUCGAAUCUUUGAACGCACAUUGCGCCCCUUGGUUAUUCCGAAGGGCAUGCCUGUUCGAGCGUCAUUUGUACCUUCAAGCUUUGCUUGGUGUUGGGUGUUUGUCUCGCCUUUGCGUGUAGACUCGCCUUAAAAUAAUUGGCAGCCGGCGUAUUGAUUUCGGAGCGCAGUACAUCUCGCGCUUUGCACUCAUAACGACAGCGUCCAAAAGUACAUUUUACACUCUUGACCUCGGAUCAGGUAGGGAUACCCGCUGAACUUAAGCAUAUCAAUAAGCGGAGGA